CCUACGGGUGACUGCAGUGGGGAAUAUUGGGCAAUGGGCGCAAGCCUGACCCAGCCACGCCGCGUGAAGGAAGAAGGCUUUCUGGUUGUAAACUUCUUUUCUGAGGGACGAAGAAAGUGACGGUACCUCAGGAAUACGCCACGGCUAACUACGUGCCAGCAGCCGCGGUAAGACGUAGGUGGCAAGCGUUAUCCGGAUUUAUUGGGUGUAAGGGGCGUGUAGGCGGGAAAGCAAGUCAGAUGUGAAAACUCAGGGCUCAACCCUGAGACUGCAUUUGAAACUGGUUUUCUUGAGUGCUGGAGAGGCAAUCGGAAUUCCGUGUGUAGCGGUGAAAUGCGUAGAUAUACGGAAGAACACCAGUGGCGAAGGCGGAUUGCUGGACAGUAACUGACGCUGAGGCGCGAAAGUGUGGGGAGCAAACAGGAUUAGAUACCCUUGUAGUC
rnacentral:rRNA from 1 species